UACGUAGGGUGCGAGCGUUGUCCGGAAUUAUUGGGCGUAAAGAGCUCGUAGGCGGUGUGUCACGUCGGCCGUGAAAACCUGCAGCUUAACUGUGGGCGUGCGGUCGAUACGGGGCAUCACUGGAGUUCGGCAGGGGAGACUGGAAUUCCUGGUGUAGCGGUGAAAUGCGCAGAUAUCAGGAGGAACACCCCGUGGCGAAGGCGGCUCUCUGGGACGGUACUGACGCUGAGACGCGAAAGCGUGGGGAGCGAACAGG
rnacentral:rRNA from 1 species